CAAAGGUUUGGUCCUGACUUUACUAUCAGCUUUGACUAUACUUACACAUGCAAGUAUCCGCACCCCUAUGAGAAUGCCCUUAACUUCCAGGACUAGAAGAAAGGAGCCGGCAUCAGGCACAUCAAACUAAAAGAUAGCCCAAAACGCCUUGCUUAGCCAUACCCCCAAGGGAACUCAGCAGUGAUAAACAUUAAGCUAUUAGUGAAAACUUGACUUAGUUAAAGACAACAGGGCCGGUAAAACUCGUGCCAGCCACCGCGGUUAUACGAGAGGCCCAAGUUGAUAGGAAUCGGCACAAAGGGUGGUUAAGAAAACUAAGCAGUAAAGCCGAACCUCUUCCCAGCUGUCAUACGCAAACGAAGAGACGAAGCCCACAUACGAAGGUAGCUUUAUUAAUAUCUGAACCCACGGCAGCUAAGACACAAACUGGGAUUAGAGACCCCACUAUGCUUAGCCGUAAACUUUGAUAGAAAAUUGAAUCUAUCCGCCCGGGAACUACAAGCGCUAGCUUAAAACCCAAAGGACUUGGCGGUGCUUCAGACCCACCUAGAGGAGCCUGUUCUAGAACCGAUAAUCCACGUUCAACCUCACCACCUCUUGUUUAACACAGCCUAUAUACCGCCGUCGUCAGCUUACCCCGCAAGGGACUCAUAGUAAGCAUAAUUAGCAUCGCUCAAUACGUCAGGUCGAGGUGUAGCAUAUGAGGUGGGAAGAAAUGGGCUACACUCUCUAGCACAGAGUACACGAAUGAUAUGAUGAAAACCACAUCUAAAGGAGGAUUUAGCAGUAAGCAGGGAAUAGAAAGCCCUACUGAAACUGGCUCUGAAGCACGUACACACCGCCCGUCACUCUCCCCAAGUUCGUUAUAACAAUUAAAUAAAAAAUUACUAGACCCAAGGGGAGGCAAGUCGUAACAUGGUAAGUGUACUGGAAAGUGCACUUGGAUAAAC
rnacentral:ncRNA from 1 species